GGAGGAAGAUAAGAGAACCCAGUUGACAAAAAAAAUUGACCAGCAAUUAAAGCAGAAGACCUGCUCCACCUGCUAAUCUACUGGUUGUAAAAGAUUGUGGAAACGCAUUACUGAGAUAAGACAACAGGAUUGGACCAAUCAGGAGAGAGGACUGAGGAGACACAGAAAAUCCUGUUGAAAAUCCCGAGAUCCCAGGUUGGGUCUCCUCGUAUUAGCAUCUAACCGGGGCGACCCCAACCAUCAUUCCGGUGCCAAAGAAAC